rnacentral:rRNA from 1 species
AGUUUGAUCCUGGCUCAGAUUGAACGCUGGCGGCAGGCUUAACACAUGCAAGUCGAGCGGUAACAUUCCUAGCUUGCUAGGAGAUGACGAGCGGCGGACGGGUGAGUAAUGCUUGGGAAUAUGCCUUAUGGUGGGGGACAACAGUUGGAAACGACUGCUAAUACCGCAUAACGUCUACGGACCAAAGGGGGGGAUCUUCGGACCUCUCGCCAUUUGAUUAGCCCAAGUGAGAUUAGCUAGUUGGUAAAGUAAUGGCUUACCAAGGCGACGAUCUCUAGCUGGUUUGAGAGGAUGAUCAGCCACACUGGGACUGAGACACGGCCCAGACUCCUACGGGAGGCAGCAGUGGGGAAUAUUGCACAAUGGGCGAAAGCCUGAUGCAGCCAUGCCGCGUGUGUGAAGAAGGCCUUCGGGUUGUAAAGCACUUUCAGUUGUGAGGAAAGGGAUGUAGUUAAUAGCUGCAUUCUGUGACGUUAACAACAGAAGAAGCACCGGCUAACUUCGUGCCAGCAGCCGCGGUAAUACGAGGGGUGCAAGCGUUAAUCGGAAUUACUGGGCGUAAAGCGUUCGUAGGCGGUUUAUUAAGCAAGAUGUGAAAGCCCAGGGCUCAACCUUGGAACUGCAUUUUGAACUGGUAGACUAGAGUACUGUAGAGGGUGGUGGAAUUUCCAGUGUAGCGGUGAAAUGCGUAGAGAUUGGAAGGAACAUCAGUGGCGAAGGCGGCCACCUGGACAGAUACUGACGCUGAGGAACGAAAGCGUGGGGAGCGAACAGGAUUAGAUACCCUGGUAGUCCACGCCGUAAACGAUGUCAACUAGCCGUUUGUGUCCUUGAGACGUGAGUGGCGCAGCUAACGCACUAAGUUGACCGCCUGGGGAGUACGGCCGCAAGGUUAAAACUCAAAUGAAUUGACGGGGGCCCGCACAAGCGGUGGAGCAUGUGGUUUAAUUCGAUGCAACGCGAAGAACCUUACCUGGUCUUGACAUGUAGCGAAGGUUUUAGAGAUAGAACUGUGCCUUCGGGAACGCUAACACAGGUGCUGCAUGGCUGUCGUCAGCUCGUG